rnacentral:rRNA from 1 species
GACGAACGCUGGCGGCGUGCUUAACACAUGCAAGUCGAACGAAGAGCGAUGGAAGCUUGCUUCUAUCAAUCUUAGUGGCGAACGGGUGAGUAACGCGUAAUCAACCUGCCCUUCAGAGGGGGACAACAGUUGGAAACGACUGCUAAUACCGCAUACGAUCCAAUCUCGGCAUCGGGACUGGAUGAAAGGUGGCCUCUAUUUAUAAGCUAUCACUGAAGGAGGGGAUUGCGUCUGAUUAGCUAGUUGGAGGGGUAACGGCCCACCAAGGCGAUGAUCAGUAGCCGGUCUGAGAGGAUGAACGGCCGCAUUGGGACUGAGACACGGCCCAGACUCCUACGGGAGGCAGCAGUGGGGAAUCUUCCGCAAUGGACGAAAGUCUGACGGAGCAACGCCGCGUGAGUGAUGACGGCCUUCGGGUUGUAAAGCUCUGUUAAUCGGGACGAAUGGUUCUUGUGCGAAUAGUGCGAGGAUUUGACGGUACCGGAAUAGAAAGCCACGGCUAACUACGUG